GGCUUUCAUAAUUCUUGAUAUUGUUAGAAAUGUCUUGAAUUCUCUCUUAACUCUUUGUAUAUUUCGAAACUAAUAAUUAUAAUCUUAGCGGUGUUAUUAUUUACUCAUUUGAAUAUGGAAAUAAUGUCUAAGCUUCUAUCCUUACCUUGCUUAUGAUUGGUCAUAAACCGUGCAAGUACUAUCAAAAUUUUGCAAGGGGUUGUUAUUGAUACAGAGGGAAGCAGCAAAGCUAAACAAUAUUUUUCUUCGAAGUGGAAAAACUGCAUGGAUGUGAAAGAUCCUAAGUUCUGAAGAAACAAAAGUUUCAUACUUUAUUGGUAGUUCCAUAGCUACCCUUGAUGGUCCAUGGAAACAAAUAUGGAAGGGCGAUACCCCAACUAAGGUGAAAUGCUUCACCUGGUUGGUCUCCAGAAGGGCAUGUCUCACUCCGGAAAAACUCAAGAAAAGAGGCUUCCAGAUUGUUUCCAGAUGUUUUUUUUUUCAUGAGAAGAAGAGACUAACAGCCACUUAUUCCUACACUAUAGGAGUACUGUUAAGGUGUGGCACAUGGUUCUCACUUCUCAGCAUUUCUCAAGAGGCCUGGGUGAUGCCAGAACAUACUGCUGAUCUUUUGAGCUGUUGGAUGAGGAGGGGGGGGGUGAGCAAGACCCGAAAAAGUGGUGUUCUAUAUUACCUACUUGUAUCUGGUGGGCUAUUUGGAGAAAAAGAAACCUCAGGUGUCAUGAAAAUAUUACUAACACUAUUCAGAAAGUUAAAGAAAAUUACAUUAACAUGUUGUAUUUUUGGUGUAAAGAAGAUGGUAUAGAAGAAGUAGAACAGUUGGUAGAUUUCCUAGGAUCUAUGUAAUGAUGGAAAUAGCUUGUAACUUUUUUGAGGUAGCCAGCAGACCUUAAUGCUGAAGAAUACAACUUUACCUUUAUCAAAAACA